rnacentral:rRNA from 1 species
CAGCCGCCGCGGUAAGACGGAGGGUGCUAGCGUUGUUCGGAAUCACUGGGCGUAAAGGGCGCGUAGGCGGCCUGUUAAGUCGGAUGUGAAAGCCCGGGGCUCAACCCCGGAACUGCAUCCGAGACUGGCAGGCUUGAGACCGGGAGAGGAGGGUGGAAUAUCCAGUGUAGAGGUGAAAUUCGUAGAUAUUGGAUGGAACACCGGUGGCGAAAGCGGCUCUCUGGCCCGGAUCUGACGCUGAGGCGCGAAAGCGUGGGGAGCAAACAGGAUUAGAUACCCCUGUAGUCCCUGUCUCUUAUAC